ACGGGAGGCAGCAGUAGGGAAUCUUCCACAAUGGGCGAAAGCCUGAUGGAGCAACGCCGCGUGAGUGAAGAAGGUUUUCGGAUCGUAAAACUCUGUUGUAAGGGAAGAACAAGUGCAGUAGUAACUGGCUGCACCUUGACGGUACCUUAUUAGAAAGCCACGGCUAACUACGUGCCAGCAGCCGCGGUAAUACGUAGGUGGCAAGCGUUGUCCGGAUUUAUUGGGCGUAAAGCGCGCGCAGGUGGUUUCUUAAGUCUGAUGUGAAAGCCCACGGCUCAACCGUGGAGGGUCAUUGGAAACUGGGAGACUUGAGUGCAGAAGAGGAAAGUGGAAUUCCAAGUGUAGCGGUGAAAUGCGUAGAGAUUUGGAGGAACACCAGUGGCGAAGGCGACUUUCUGGUCUGUAACUGACACUGAGGCGCGAAAGCGUGGGGAGCAAACAGGAUUAGAUACCCUGGUA
rnacentral:rRNA from 2 species